AUUGAACGCUGGCGGAAUGCUUUACACAUGCAAGUCGAACGGUAGAGGGGGCAACCCCUCGAGAGUGGCGAACGGGUGAGUAAUAUAUCGGAACGUGCCCAGUCGUGGGGGAUAACGUAGCGAAAGUUACGCUAAUACCGCAUACGAUCUAAGGAUGAAAGCGGGGGAUCGCAAGACCUCGCGCGAUUGGAGCGGCCGAUAUCAGAUUAGGUAGUUGGUGGGGUAAAGGCUCACCAAGCCAACGAUCUGUAGCUGGUCUGAGAGGACGGCCAGCCACACUGGAACUGAGACACGGUCCAGACUCCUACGGGAGGCAGCAGUGGGGAAUUUUGGACAAUGGACGCAAGUCUGAUCCAGCCAUUCCGCGUGCAGGAUGUAGGCCCUCGGGUUGUAAACUGCUUUUGUACGGAACGAAAAGGUCUCUCUUAAUACGGGGGACUCAUGACGGUACCGUAAGAAUAAGCACCGGCUAACUACGUGCCAGCAGCCGCCGUAA
rnacentral:rRNA from 1 species